rnacentral:rRNA from 1 species
GAUGAACGCUGGCGGCGUGCCUAACACAUGCAAGUCGAACGGACAGACAAUUAGCGUGUGCUCUUUAGGGUAGCGGGUGGCGGCCGGGUGACAAGUGGGUCACCUUCCUCUAAUACGUGGAGGAUAACGGGGAAAAUCGUACAAUGCCACCUCAUACGUCGUACGGGUUGGUGCAAAGGUUCUUCGGAGUUUGGCUGUCACUCUGAGAUGCAGCCGUAUUAGCUUGUUGGGGGGGUAAAGGACUACCAAGGCAAGGCUACGUAACCGACCUGAGAGGAUGAUCGGCCACACUGGAGCUGAGACACGGUCCAGACUCCUACGGGAGGCAGCAGUGGGGAAUAUUAGGCAAUGGGCGGAAGCCUGACGCAGCCACGCCGCGUGUGUGGUGAAGGCCUUCGGUUCGUAAAGCCCUGUUGUUGGGUAAGAAAAACUGUGUGUGAAUACGCCGCGGUUUUGACGGUACCUAAAGAAGAAGCACCGGCUAACUACGUG